UAGGGAAUAUUGGGCAAUGGAGGCAACUCUGACCCAGCCAUGCCGCGUGCAGGAUGAAGGCGCUCAGCGUUGUAAACUGCUUUUAUCAGGGAAGAACUGGGGUUGUGCGCAAUCUCUUGACGGUACCUGAGGAAUAAGCACCGGCUAACUCCGUGCCAGCAGCCGCGGUAAUACGGAGGGUGCAAGCGUUGUCCGGAUUUAUUGGGUUUAAAGGGUGCGUAGGUGGUCUUCUAAGUCUGGUUUGAAAGCAGGCGGCUUAACCGUCUGAUGUGGCUGGAAACUGGGGGACUUGAAUGGGUUGGCGGUCGCCGGAACGGGUCAUGUAGCGGUGAAAUGCAUAGAUAUGACCCAGAACCCCGAUUGCGAAGGCAGGCGACUAGGACCCAAUUGACACUGAGGCACGAGAGCAUGGGGAGCGAACAG
rnacentral:rRNA from 1 species